GUUCGAAUGUUCACAAACUGUCUUUAAAGUUGAAUUGUUCGAAUGUUCAAUAUCUCACACGGGCACGUGAUCGUAUAGUGUUAUAACUGUUCGUUCCUGUUAGAGUAUUUCGGAUAUUAAGCACAUUAGUUCCAGCCUACCCACGAGGGGGAGACCUUGGCGGAAUCUCCGGUACCAAUCUGUCCUGAUCGAAUUGUGGUCUAAUCGAAUUCUGUCCUUGUAGCCCAUUGAGGAAUCUUAUAUAGUCCAGUGGUCCAUACAAAUAGCUGUAGGCCGAUUACAUAGUCGUCUGGAUGUUAAAUCAUUCUAGUCUAUGGUUAAUUGUCAAACUAUGCAAUUAAACCCCUGAAGGAUACAUGUUAUUUCAUAGUAGACAUGGUCAUUUAUUGGCUUCAGGGUAUAUAUGUCUAUAAUAUUUGAACAGAUCGUUAUUAAGUGUCCAAAGCGUACAUGAUUGUCAUUGAAUUGUUUAAUUCCUUUUUAAUAAAUUUCCUAAUUAAU
rnacentral:lncRNA from 1 species